rnacentral:tRNA from 1 species
UGUCCCUUAGCUCAACAGGGUAGAGCAACAGACUUCUAAGCUGUAGGUUGCAGGCCGAGUUCUGCAGGGAUCGCUA